rnacentral:rRNA from 1 species
AUUCCGGUUGAUCCUGCCGGAGGACAUUGCUAUUGGGAUUCGAUUUAGCCAUGCUAGUCGAGCGAGUUUAGACUCGCGGCGAAUAGCUCAGUAACACGUGGCCAAGCUCCCCUUCAGUCAGCGAUACCCUCGGGAAACUGAGGUUAACAGCUGAUACAAAACGCCAGCUGGAAUGCGGCGUUUCAGAAAGACAUCGCUGAAGGAUGCGGCUGCGGCCGAUUAGGUAGACGGUGGGGUAACGGCCCACCGUGCCAGUAAUCGGUACGGGUGAUGAGAGUCAGAGCCCGGAGACGGAAUCUGAGACAAGAUUCCGGGCCCUACGGGGCGCAGCAGGCGCGAAACCUUUACACUGCACGGAAGUGCGAUAGGGGAAUCCCAAGUGCGAGGGCAUAUUAGCCCUCGCUUUUCUCGACUGUAAGGUGGUCGACGAAUAA